rnacentral:rRNA from 2 species
UGGGGAAUAUUGGACAAUGGGCGCAAGCCUGAUCCAGCAAUGCCGCGUGUGUGAAGAAGGCCUGCGGGUCGUAAAGCACUUUCAGCGAGGAAGAAAAUCCGCCGGCAAAUACCCGGCGGCUUUGACGUUACUCGCAGAAGAAUGCACCGGCUAACUUCGUGCCAGCAGCCGCGGUAAUACGAGGGGUGCAAGCGUUAAUCGGAAUCACUGGGCGUAAAGCGCGCGUAGGCGGCUCGCUAAGUUGGAUGUGAAAGCCCUGGGCUUAACCUGGGAAUGGCAUUCAAUACUGGCGUGCUUGAGUAUGAUAGAGGAAAGCGGAAUUCCCGGUGUAGCGGUGGAAUGCGUAGAUAUCGGGAGGAACACCAGUGGCGAAAGCGGCUUUCUGGAUCAAUACUGACGCUGAGGCGCGAGAGCGUGGGGAGCAAACAGG